CAAGUCGAACGAGUGUAGCAAUACAUUCGUGGCGAACGGGUGCGUAACACGUGGAUAAUCUUCCUUCUGGUGAGGAAUAACCCAGUGAAAACUGGGCUAAUACCGCAUAACAUUGCGAGGGCGCAUGCCCUUGCAUUCAAAGGCGCAAGUCGCCGGAAGAGGGAUCCGCGGCCGAUUAGCUAGUUGGCGAGGUAAUGGCUCACCAAGGCGAUGAUCGGUAGCCGGACUGAGAGGUUGGCCGGCCACACUGGAACUGAGACACGGUCCAGACUCCUACGGGAGGCAGCAGUGGGGAAUCUUGCGCAAUGGGCGAAAGCCUGACGCAGCAACGCCGCGUGGGGGAUGAAGCUUCUCGGAGUGUAAACCCUUUUCGACCGGGACGAAUGCCCGCAAGGGCUUGACGGUACCGGUAUAAGAAGCCCCGGCUAACUACGUGCCAGCAGCCGCGGUAAAACGUAGGGGGCUAGCGUUGCUCGGAAUUACUGGGCGUAAAGGGUCCGUAGGCGGUGUGACAAGUCGGUAGUGAAAUCUCUGGGCUUAACUCAGAGGCUGCUGCCGAAACUGUUGUGCUUGAGUGUGAGAGAGGCGAGUGGAAUUACGGGUGUAGCGGUGAAAUGCGUAGAUAUCCGUAGGAACAUCCGAGGCGAAAGCGGCUCGCUGGAUCACAACUGACGCUGAGGGACGAAAGCUAGGGGAGCAAACAGGAUUAGAUACCCUGGUAGUCCUAGCCCUAAACCAUCAGGACUUGGGGUUUGCCCUGUACGGGGCAAGUCCCGGAGCUAACGCGUUAAGUCCUGCGCCUGGGGAGUACGG
rnacentral:rRNA from 1 species